AGCAGCCGCGGUAAUUCCAGCUCCAAUAGCGUAUAUUAAAGUUGUUGCAGUUAAAAAGCUCGUAGUUGAAUUUCGGGAUCAAAGAAUCGGUCAUGCCUUGGUAUGUACUGGUUUUAUUGGUUCUCACCUUCUAAAGAACCAUGAUGUCAUUCAUUUGAUGUUAUGGGGAAUUAGGACUGUUACCUUGAAAAAAUUAGAGUGUUUAAAGCAAGCUUACGCUUGAAUACAUUAGCAUGGAAUAAUGAAAUAGGACAUCAGAUUCUAUUUUGUUGGUUUCUAGGAUCGAUGUAAUGAUUAAUAGGGAUAGUUGGGGGCAUUAGUAUUCAAUUGUCAGAGGUGAAAUUCUUGGAUUUAUUGAAGACUAACUACUGCGAAAGCAUUUGCCAAGGAUGUUUUCAUUAAUCAAGAACGAAAGUUAGGGGAUCGAAGACGAUCAGAUACCGUCGUAGUCUUAACCAUAAACUAUGCCGACUAGGG
rnacentral:misc_RNA from 1 species